UCACAUUCCUGUUAGUCAGGUCGGCAACGGCACCAAGGCGGAGUGGUGGGGGGCAGAGAGAGUUAACUUUGAGGAAGGAAGAACUCCUUCCAGAAAUCACUCGGCGAAUGGCAGCAGGGUCCAGGAAGAACGGCGCGCGGUGGAUUAGCAACCACGCAUCCGAGGGUCAUGCCGCUGUGAUUAUCUCUGGGUUCGCUGGCCUACUUUCAAUGAAAAGACAAGGCUCCACAUGGUUUUCUUCCAGGCAGGACGGCGACGGAGACGGGGCGUGUUUGAACACGACUCCUGCAGCCAAGUCUUAUCAGUCAAGCAGGCCUCAUUUCUUUUUUGCACAACAAAAAGUGGCAUUGAGGAGCAGAACAGCUGGAGAAUUUCCUCGGAAGGCUGGUUUUCACAAGAGCUGGGCGACAUCAAAUGACUCUGUCAUGGUCCAGAAUCGAGAUGAAGACACGUCGGAGGAGCAGAGAGAAAUGUCUCUAUGGGAAGAUGGGCAGCUCACACAGCGACAGCUGCAUCAGGCUAAAUACAUGAGAUGAUCAUGGGGAAGUUCAUUUACUACAGUAAUUUAAUUUUAAAACGCUACGCUCAAGUUAAAAAGAUCCAUUACCAAUAGGGUCAGGCAUUUCAUUCUGUUAAUUGGGAUCAACAUGGCUGUUAACGCACUAAAACACAAAAUCCUGUUUCUCAGAAAAUUACAUAAGAGCAAUCAAGAUGAUUUUUGACAGUGAAAUGUUGCGUUAUGGCUGUGUUUUAACUAGUGCUGUCAAUCUAUUGAAAAAUGUAAUUGUGAUUAAUCACACACUAGCAACAUGAUUAAUCACUAUGCCAAACUUCGUGAGCUCAAAAUAUAAAUAUGCAUGAAGUUAUAGGAAUGGUGGCCUGGGCAAGCCCCGCCUUCUGCUCACUACAACCAAUUAAAAUGCAAGAAAGUAUCUGUUUUUUUCUCAGAUAAUUUCAGGACUCCACAACAGCCAAGGGAAAUUUACUUCACUACACAUUAAUACAUGUAGUAGCAAACUUGUUCAGGGGACAACUGACAGAUGUUUAAUUUUUUAGUUCUUGGAUGCCCCGCCCCUUUCUGAUGCCGCCCUGGACAACUACCCAUAACCAGCCCGGUUUUCAAAAAAAUUUUUAUUGUCUCAAACCAAACGUGUCUGAAGAUUCUCAGGUUUCCACGUUUUUAGAUUCGGGGAUGUUUACAGGAAAUCCUUUUGUAGCUCGUCCUCAUCCAGCUGAGCGACCGCAGUAAAUCGUGCAGGUGAAACUUUGAGCUCAUAGAUGUGAACACGCAGGCUAGCGAGGCAACACAAGAGAGCUGAAAAAUGUUGUCUGAAAAAUAAUUGCUUCUUUUCUGUGUGUGUUGUUGUUUUUUUAGAUCAACCUUGUAUUGAUUUUGAAGAGGGGGAAGAGGAUAUUUUCCCUGCUGUUUUUAACGUUUGUGCUAUUUCUGUGACACUGGAAAUUUUUACUCAUAGUUAUUCUAACCCAACAAGCUGCGUGUGUGUGUCUGGGCGCUCACCCACACGGUACGUUUUGACAGCACUGUCCAUAUUAUGCACGAAGCACCGCCUGACAUCAUGCAAGCCCACAACGUGAUUCCUAUUAAGCCUUAUCAGAUGCUGGCAGAUGAAGCUGAAGACAUUUGAUCAAACUUUGCAUUUGUCACAGACUGCUGGUUGCAAAUGGCCAAAAGAUCCAAAGGCAAAGUUUUGUUUUUUGUUUUUUUUUGCUUGUUUUCUGUGAGAUGUCAGCCCAGCACUGGUUCAUCGCUUGAGUUAAAGCCUUUUUAUGCCAGAAUAAUUGGUUGAUUUAGUAGAGUUGAGUGAUCUAAGAAACCUUCCUCCAUUAACGAGCCAACAGUGGAUGGAAAAUAAUGCAAAUGGAAGAAAAACUCAUCAACUUUUACUACUUUUGGCUAUCUAUUGAAAUGUAUGUUAAUUGCAAACAUUUCAGUUAACAUACAUUUAAUUGAAUGUAUGUUCAAACAAUAGAGCUUGAGAAGCUCAAGCUUCUCUUAAGCUAUUGAGAGAAGCUUGAGGAAGGAAUCCCUUAUACUGACCAAACGUAUGUAAACUUUUGAAUUUUAGGAAAGUUGAAAAAAAUAAAUAAACAAAAUAAAAAUCCUAAAAUAUGUUCUCGACACAUUUUCUGGCAUUUAGCAAAUAGAAAUAAAUUGAGCAAUUCUAGCUAAACUAAAACAACAAAGGUUCGGUCUAACCUAACUUCAAACAGUGAGAAAGAAAGAAUUUGUUUGCAUCUUUUUAUACAUUGCAUGUAAAUAUCUGCUUUUAACUACAUCUACGUCUUACAUAAAAAAAUAAUAAUGUUCUAAAGUU